rnacentral:rRNA from 1 species
GACGGAGGGUGCAAGCGUUAAUCGGAAUUACUGGGCGUAAAGCGUGCGCAGGCGGUUUGUUAAGUCCGCUGUGAAAUCCCCGAGCUCAACUUGGGAAUUGCAGUGGAUACUGGCAAGCUGGAGUAUGGUAGAGGAAGGUGGAAUUCCCGGUGUAGCAGUGAAAUGCGUAGAGAUCGGGAGGAAAACCUGAGGUGAAGACGUGUUGCUGGGCCGACACUGACGAUGACAGCGCGAAAGCCAGGGGAGCAAACGGG